GAACGCCGGCGGUGUGCCUAAUACAUGCAAGUCGUACGCACUGGCCCAACUGAUUGAUGGUGCUUGCACCUGAUUGACGAUGGAUCACCAGUGAGUGGCGGACGGGUGAGUAACACGUAGGUAACCUGCCCCGGAGCGGGGGAUAACAUUUGGAAACAGAUGCUAAUACCGCAUAACAACAAAAGCUGCAUGGCUUUUGUUUGAAAGAUGGCUUUGGCUAUCACUCUGGGAUGGACCUGCGGUGCAUUAGCUAGUUGGUAAGGUAACGGCUUACCAAGGCGAUGAUGCAUAGCCGAGUUGAGAGACUGAUCGGCCACAAUGGAACUGAGACACGGUCCAUACUCCUACGGGAGGCAGCAGUAGGGAAUCUUCCACAAUGGGCGCAAGCCUGAUGGAGCAACACCGCGUGAGUGAAGAAGGGUUUCGGCUCGUAAAGCUCUGUUGUUGGAGAAGAACGUGCGUGAGAGUAACUGUUCACGCAGUGACGGUAUCCAACCAGAAAGUCACGGCUAACUACGUGCCAGCAGCCGCGGUAAUACGUAGGUGGCAAGCGUUAUCCGGAUUUAUUGGGCGUAAAGCGAGCGCAGGCGGUUGCUUAGGUCUGAUGUGAAAGCCUUCGGCUUAACCGAAGAAGUGCAUCGGAAACCGGGCGACUUGAGUGCAGAAGAGGACAGUGGAACUCCAUGUGUAGCGGUGGAAUGCGUAGAUAUAUGGAAGAACACCAGUGGCGAAGGCGGCUGUCUGGUCUGCAACUGACGCUGAGGCUCGAAAGCAUGGGUAGCGAACAGGAUUAGAUACCCUGGUAGUCCAUGCCGUAAACGAUGAGUGCUAGGUGUUGGAGGGUUUCCGCCCUUCAGUGCCGGAGCUAACGCAUUAAGCACUCCGCCUGGGGAGUACGACCGCAAGGUUGAAACUCAAAGGAAUUGACGGGGGCCCGCACUAGCGGUGGAGCAUGUGGUUUAAUUCGAAGCUACGCGAAGAACCUUACCAGGUCUUGACAUCUUGCGCUAACCUUAGAGAUAAGGCGUUCCCUUCGGGGACGCAAUGACAGGUGGUGCAUGGUCGUCGUCAGCUCGUGUCGUGAGAUGUUGGGUUAAGUCCCGCAACGAGCGCAACCCUUGUUACUAGUUGCCAGCAUUAAGUUGGGCACUCUAGUGAGACUGCCGGUGACAAACCGGAGGAAGGUGGGGACGACGUCAGAUCAUCAUGCCCCUUAUGACCUGGGCUACACACGUGCUACAAUGGACGGUACAACGAGUCGCAAGCUCGCGAGAGUAAGCUAAUCUCUUAAAGCCGUUCUCAGUUCGGACUGUAGGCUGCAACUCGCCUACACGAAGUCGGAAUCGCUAGUAAUCGCGGAUCAGCAUGCCGCGGUGAAUACGUUCCCGGGCCUUGUACACACCGCCCGUCACACCAUGGGAGUUUGUAACGCCCAAAGUCGGUGGCCUAACCUUUAUGGAGGGAGCCGCCUAAGGCGGGACAGAUGACU
rnacentral:rRNA from 1 species